AAUCCGGAUUAAUACCGCAUAAAAUCACAGCACUGCAUAGUGUAAUGAUCAAACAUUUAUGGGAUUGAGAUGGGCAUGCGUGUCAUUAGCUAGUUGGCGGGGUAACGGCCCACCAAGGCGACGAUGACUAGGGGAUCUGAGAGGAUGGCCCCCCACACUGGUACUGAGACACGGACCAGACUCCUACGGGAGGCAGCAGUAAGGAAUAUUGGUCAAUGGAGGCAACUCUGAACCAGCCAUGCCGCGUGCAGGAAGACUGCCCUAUGGGUUGUAAACUGCUUUUAUCCGGGAAUAAACCACAUUACGUGUAAUGUGCUGAAUGUACCGGAAGAAUAAGGAUCGGCUAACUCCGUGCCAGCAGCCGCGGUAAUACGGAGGAUCCAAGCGUUAUCCGGAUUUAUUGGGUUUAAAGGGUGCGUAGGCGGCCUGUUAAGUCAGGGGUGAAAGACGGUAGCUCAACUAUCGCAGUGCCCUUGAUACUGAUGGGCUUGAAUGGACUAGAGGUAGGCGGAAUGAGACAAGUAGCGG
rnacentral:rRNA from 1 species